CUGCAUCGGGGACGCCAAGACAGUGAUCAAGGCCUUUAAGGGGGGACCAGCAGGGCUCUUACCCCUCAUAUCACCGCAUUGGGCGGAUCGCCCCAACCAACCGAAAUGCCCGCUGGAACUACUGAGCCCUUAGAAGGGUAAUGAGGCUUCGUUACCAACCACAGGGAUGAGGACGGUUACCUCUAUGGCUGUUUUGCUUGCUGCUAGUGUUUAAUCAAUACUUUCUUGCGCGCCAAGUCCCCCCUUUCCUCUUUAGGAAGAAAAGGUAUGAUAUUUUUUUUUCUCUCGCUCUGGGGUUAUGUUGUGAGAGGUACAGAUAGGAUUGUCAACAGCAGAGAAGGAAGGAUGGACAACAUGUAGACAGUCUGCCUACAGGGCACGACAUCAGCCCCGCACCCAGCAGAAGGGUGCAGCUUCCCGCUUGCCCACGUUGGGGAGGUUAGCAGUCGCUUUGUGGUGGUGCGUGACAUCACCAAAUCAUGUAGUGGAGAGGUGUGGCCUUGAGAGACUGGGAAGAGCGUGUGUGCGCGCGUGUUUGUGUGUGUACACACAUGCGUGCACCCCCCCCCCCCCCAUCAAGAAGUAGAAUGUAACAGGCACUCCGCGAAAUGUCAUGAAAUGUUUCUAUAUAGCUCACCACAAUUGUUUGCUUGUGGUAGAAAUGCCCCUAAUAAAUAGAGAGGUCCCCUCAAAGGACCAUAUACCACGUACAAGUGACCAUGUUCUUAGGUGACCAAGUGUCCUGGUUUGCCCAGGACUGAGGGGGAUCCCAGGACACUAGAAUUUUGGCACUUAAAACACUGGGAUGGUCCUAGGAAAAGUGGGACAGGUUGGUCAUGUCCCUGUAAAACAGAUGAGUCCAGAAAUGGACACAUCCUCAACCAGGCCCUUCAUGGUCUUCCCCACCUUCAGGAAUUUAACAUAUGGCACAGGAAAACACAGAAGGUAGCCCUUAGAACAGUCACAUAAAUGGCUGUGCCCGAAAGAAAAGGUCUGUUAACACCGUUUGCUGAGGACCAGGACCUGCCCUGCCUUCUUUGAUUACAGGUAAUAAUCCCUGUGUAUUUCCAAAACAUUCUUUUGCUUGACGAGCCAGGGAAGGCUUCUGCUUGCAACCGAACUAAGCGAAGUAAGCUCAAGGAGUGUAUGCAUAGCACGUCCUUGUUCAAGGGCAUCUGCUCCCAGAGCCCCUGCUGAGUGGGCACUGAGCCACAUGCUCCAGACUCACUGGCAUAGCAAACUGAAGUCGAUCUGUCUCAAACCCAAACAGCUGAGAGUCUCUGCAGCAUGAGUUUUGGUCACCAAUGGAGCUGCAGUUGGUCUCUGUCAUGUUGAGAUAGAAAUGCCCUGUAAACCUGGAAUUAGGUUCUAGGCAUGAGCAGGGUGUUGGAGCUGGUGGAACAAAAGCAGGAGAUACUAGAGGAAAGAGGGGAGAAGGGAAGACCGAGUUAUCAGAGCGGUGUUCCAUCUUUGUGCCCAGCUUUCCAGCGUUGGAUUUCCAGUCCCUUGUGAGGUCCAGCUCAACUUCCUGUCCUUAAAUUCUGAAAAUUCUGUGUCCUUCCAGUAAAGUCCCCGUGUUACUCGGGUUAGUUGUAGUGGGUUCCUGUUCCCAGUGAAACGACACCACCCCCUAACACACUGGUCGCCUGCUCACUCUACAGCAUCCAUCUCUUGUCACCAGAGCUCUGGAGUCAGCAUGUCCUUCCAGGCCAAGGACAGGAGGGCCACUGCUGCCUGGUCCCAUCAGGAAAACUGCCUCAGUUAUCAUGGGGCUGGCAGGUGGGGCAAAUCGUAUAAUCAGCAUAUAAAUCUGGAAGGAGACUUGGGAAAUGGUCUAUUCCAAAUUCCUUGUUACGCACAGGGGAGGAAGAGAGUCCACCCGGAUGGAGUUUAGUGGUCCCAGAGACAGGACUAUUGAUCUCCCUCCCAGCGGGCUCCCCAAUUUUUCUGGUGUGGAGGGAGUGCAGUACCCCCCCCCCCAGACCCCUGUGAGACCCCCUAGUGUGCUGCUGAGCUCCCUCCCACCGGCCACCUGGCCUUCGGCAUCAGCCUUUGCAAAAUCAUGACCGCUGCGUAGUUGUAUUCAGAACUGGGAGAAAACGUUUUAAGGAAAAAUAUCUUUUUGUUCCCUCCUUACUCACCACCUGGCUCUGACAGAUAAGUGGGUUAAUUAGCAGAGCUAAUAAGUUUAGUUUAAAAGUUUAUUUACACUUUCUACACUCCCAUUCAUACCUGGGUGUUUUCCUUAUCCUUAUUUGUUCAUAAACAUAAAUGGAAACAACCGGCAUCACCAAGGGCUGCGGCAGCCGCAGGUCCACAAGUGUGCCUUCCACCGUUUGGACACACACUAAUGCAGUCACGUGGCACAGUGAACCGGCCUGCUUGGAGGCAGUCACGGCAGCAUGUUCCUUGGAACGCGAACCACUUAGUGUAGAGUUAUAUUAAUUAAAGAUUAUGUACUGAGUGGUAGUUAAGGUCAGCCAGGGCUCUCCAAUUAACAAUUCCCAACUGCUGCAAGGCCCCGUAGGCAAGGUACUUUUGUGAAGAUCUCAAUCUCCUAUGAUCCAACAGUAUCACUGAACGUGAUACUACGUUUAAGGUGGUGCUUUCUUCCUAAAAGGGUAGCUGCCCCAGAAAUGUUUCAGGUUACCCAGAAUAUUUAAAAAUGUAACUUUUGGUAUUCUGGUCUAAUUCGUUAUUGUGGUAAAAUAUAUAAAACAUAAAAUUUGCCAUUUUGGCUACGUCCAAACGCGCACUGCGGUGGCAUUGCUGCAUAUGCAACGUGUAUACCCAUCACUCCCGUCCCUCCCCAGAACUUUGUCAUCUCCCCAGACUGAAACUCAACACCCGUGAAACAGCAUCUCUCCAUUUCCCCCACCUCCCCUAAAUCCACUUUCAGGGUAGGUUUGUCCGUGUUGCAUCCCAUGGAAAUAUGUUCAACAUGGGUUCAUAGCCUCUGCAAGUAAACACUUGCGAGUAGAAAUAACAUAGGGUUUGUUCACCUCUUUUCUCUUGUGGAAUUCAAGUGAAAUGUGAUUUCCACAGGGACACGUCGUGUACUAAUCAGAUACUUCUAUUUCAGACCUCUUUAAGGCCUACACCAGUGAAAUUCCACCUGUGAAACGACAGGGAAACUUGGCGUGGUACUCAUUAACUGAACAGUUUGUGUGGGUGUGUUCUGAAGGGCUUGUAUACAAGUUUGUAACUGCAAAUGCCAAACCUUGUUUGUCUUUCUGCAAAACCAGCGAGCAAUCCACACACCUGAUGGGUGCGCGAGCCUCCCCGUGUUUUCCUCCUAACAUCACAGCUCAGCAGAAAUUUCGCUCAAGCCAGAGAAAGCUUCACCUGCCAAACCUCAACAGGGCCCGGAAAGCAAGCCUUUCCUCUUGAACACAGGUUUCACUCAAGGUUGGGUAACUGAAAUAGACACACAGCACUGCUCCCGACUUGCAAAUCUAACCACCAGUCUGGUAGAAUUUUCAUAUUAGCGGAGUGUGCCCAAAGAAUGUUGGAAGGAUCUCUGGCGAACGGAAGACUGGCUCUGCAUUUACAAAGAGGGGUGGCCUCCGCUGAGCCCUCCCCCUUCACACCUUCUUCAUCGUUCGCUCCAACAAACCCAAGCGCACACGGUUUAUGAGACCGUGCCGCUGGCCUGGCCAGAAACCUGUGUACCUGCAAUGUCCAAGGCCUCGAUGUGGAGUCGCUGGCAGGUGUCCUGUCCCCAGCCCUGAUCCCGCUUUGGCACCUGGGCUCACCUUGUAGAUACUGUUUGCGACACACCUCCUGCAUUUUCUUCCUGCGGCUGCUCCUUCCUACAUGGGAGAGCGAUCAGCUAUCCGGAUGGCAUCGACUGCUCUCGGCCCGUGGGGAAACAAGAGACAAUUCCCACCCAGGAGGAUUUUGUGUUCCAAAGGGGGGGGGGCAAAAAAUAAACAAGAAA